AUUGAACGCUGGCGGCAGGCCUAACACAUGCAAGUCGAACGGUAACAGGAAGCAGCUUGCUGCUUUGCUGACGAGUGGCGGACGGGUGAGUAAUGUCUGGGAAACUGCCUGAUGGAGGGGGAUAACUACUGGAAACGGUAGCUAAUACCGCAUAACGUCGCAAGACCAAAGAGGGGGACCUUCGGGCCUCUUGCCAUCGGAUGUGCCCAGACGGGAUUAGCUAGUAGGUGGGGUAACGGCUCACCUAGGCGACGAUCCCUAGCUGGUCUGAGAGGAUGACCAGCCACACUGGAACUGAGACACGGUCCAGACUCCUACGGGAGGCAGCAGUGGGGAAUAUUGCACAAUGGGCGCAAGCCUGAUGCAGCCAUGCCGCGUGUAUGAAGAAGGCCUUCGGGUUGUAAAGUACUUUCAGCGGGGAGGAAGGGAGUAAAGUUAAUACCUUUGCUCAUUGACGUUACCCGCAGAAGAAGCACCGGCUAACUCCGUG
rnacentral:rRNA from 1 species